rnacentral:lncRNA from 1 species
GGGGUCAACAUUGAACAACAUUUAGAAGAAUAUAUGCUAUACUUUUUUUUUUUUACCAUACCAUAAAGCUAAAUAAACAAACAACAAAAUGGCAGCAAGAAAACGGCAGUAAAGGUCUGAUCAUGAAGACAUGGAUGUGUUUGCACAUGCUCAGCAAUUCACCAUUGAUUGUGACAGAUAAGGACGCUUCAAUGGAAGAGGCUGUGGGAAGGGCGCGAAAACAUCACAUCCAUUUGAUUUUCCUUGCAAAAUGGUCCUGACAUAUACCUCACAUUGAAAUAAGUCUACAGGCUUUCAUAGACAUCUUUGGGAGUAAUCUACAAGCCUGGAUCUCUGGUGAUGGUGACAGGCUGCAGGUUUCCAACAUUCUUCAAAACAGUUUUUGUGUUCAACAGAAGAAAGAAACUCCAACAUGUUUGAGACAAGUGAAAGAUGAGGCCCGGGGUUUUUAACUUCACGCCCAGGCCCCAAAGGCCCGAAGCUGGGGGCGUUUGCAGAAAUCCAAGCAGCGCCAGCAUGCUUUUGUUUCAGCCUGCUGGUCUUUAGCCGC